rnacentral:rRNA from 1 species
UACGAAGGGGCUAGCGUUGCUCGGAAUCACUGGGCGUAAAGGGUGCGUAGGCGGGUCUUUAAGUCAGGGUGAAAUCCUGGAGCUCAACUCCAGAACUGCCUUUGAUACUGAAGAUCUUGAGUCCGGGAGAGGUGAGUGGAACUGCGAGUGUAGAGGUGAAAUUCGUAGAUAUUCGCAAGAACACCAGUGGCGAAGGCGGCUCACUGGCCCGGUACUGACGCUGACG